UUUAAAAUUUAAUAGAUUAAAAUGAAGACCUAGGUACUUACAGACGAAAAAGGACGUAUUAAUCGACGAAACACUUCAGCGAACAGAUUAAAAAUGUAUUUAAAACUGAAGAUUUCCGAAUGGGGUUAACCCUUUAUAAUUUCUAAAGUGUCUCACACUUAGAAAAGUGAACCUGGAGAACUGAACCAUCUUAGUAUCCAGAGGAAAAAAAAGUAACAACGAUUUCCUUAGUAGUGGCGAACGAAGCGGAUUUUUAAGAUUAACUAGAAAAUCUUAGUAACAUCAAAAGAAGAUUUAAACUAAAUCUGAGUAAAAUAGAACAUGUGUUUAUUCUGUUUGAAGUAGACGAGGAUCACCUCGUAAUACUAAAUACUCGUAAGUAACCAAUAGUGAACUAGUACCGUGAGGGAAAGGUGAAAAGAACCCCUUUAAAGGGGAGUGAAAAGAACGCAAAAUUUUAAUCUAAUAAGCAAUAGAAGGAUUGAGAAGAAUCUAACUAUGUACCUGUUGAAGAAGGGACCAAUGAGUCAUGGUAAAUAAGCUAUCAAGGUUAAGCAGAAGUAAUAUUCGGAGCCUAAGUGAAAGCGAGCUAUAAAAAGCAAAAAAGUUUACUGCCAUGUACCCGAACCUGAAUGAUCUAAUUAUGUCCAAAGUGAAACUUAGGUUAAACUAGGUGGAGGCUUGUACUGGUUAAUAUUGCAAAAUUAUCAGAUGAGAUGUGAUUAGUGGUGAAAUGCCAAACGAAUUCAGAGCUAGCUGGUUCUCCCCGAAAUGUAUUGAAGUACAGCUGUCAUUUAGAUAAAGUAAAUCUAGUAGGGGUAAAGCACUGUUUCAAUUAAAGUUUAGAGUAAUUAAAUAUUUAAUUGAUUCACUCUAUGAAUACUAUUAGUAUUUAAUUCUGGCAAGUGAGACUUGAAGGGCAAAUCUUUUAAGUCAAAAGGGAAACAACCCAGAUCAUGAGAUAAGGUCCUUAAAGAUUAUUAAGUUUUACAAAGGAAGUGACAUCGUUGAGACAGCCAGAAGGUUGGCUUAGAAGCAGCAAUCCUUUAAAGAGUGCGUAAUAGCUCACUGGUUUAGUGGUGUUGUGCCGAUAAUUAACGGGAAUAAAUAAUCUACCGAAGCUAUGAGAUUAUAUUUUAUAUUAAAAUAUAGUCGGUAGGGGAGCGUUCUGCAGUAGAAUAAAAUUUUAAUGAAAAUUAAAAUGAACGACGCAGAAGUGAGAAUAUUGGUUUAAGUAGCGCAAAAUAUCAGUGAGAAUCUGAUACUCCUAAAACCUAAGGUUUCCUACGAAACAAUUUUUUUACGUAGGGUGAGUCGAGGCCUAAAAUGAGAUGUAAUGUGUAAUUGAUGGAGAAAAAGGUUAAUAUUCCUUUACCAUAAUUAAUUGACAAUAAUUGACAAAUUUUUGGUAGAAUCUUUAAGUGUUGGUUAUCUUAAAGUGUAUAUAUAAAAAAUUUCAAGAAAAAUAUUAUGUGUCGUAAAUUACUUAUGCUCGUACCAUAAACCGACACAGGUGGGUUGAUAUCAUAUAUUUAGGAGUCGAGAUAACUCUUUCUAAGGAACUCGGCAAAUUGAUCCUGUAACUUCGGAAUAAGGGAAACCCAAAGGGUUACUAAAAAAGGUCCAAGCGACUGUUUAUCAAAAACACAGGUCUCCGCUAAGUUGAAAAACGAUGUAAGGAGGCUGACGCCUGCCCAGUGCCGGUAGGUCAAAAAAUUAGGUUUUUUCUUAUAACUUAGUUCUAAGCCCCGGUAAACGGCGGCUGUAGCUAUAACGGUCCUAAGGUAGCGAAAUUCCUUGUCGGGUAAGUUCCGACCCGCAUGAAAGGCGUAACGACUUGGGCACUGUCUUUGAAAGAGGCUCGGCGAAAUAGAAUUGUCUGUGAAGAUGCGGACUACCUACACCAGGACAGAAAGACCCUAUGAAGCUUUACUAUAACUUGAUAUUGAAAUUUAACUUUGAAUGCGCAGAAUAAGUGGGAGAUAAAGAUAUUAUUUUUUCGGAAAUAAUAGAAUCUAAGGUGAGAUACCACUCUUUUAACGGUAAAGUUCUAACAAAUAUUCUGUAAACCAGUUUUUGGACAGUUUCAGGUAGGUAGUUUGACUGGGGCGGUCGCCUCUUAAAAAGUAACAGAGGUGUACAAAGGUUUUUUAAUAAUAUAAAAGUAUAAAAAAGCUUAACUGUGAGACAUACAAGUCAACCAGAGACGAAAGUCGGUUUUAAUGAUCCGAUGGUAUUAUGUGAAUAUAACAUCGCUCAACGGAUAAAAGUUACUCUAGGGAUAACAGGCUGAUCUUCCUUGAUAGUUCAUAUUGAUGGGGAGGUUUGGCACCUCGAUGUCGGCUUGUCGCAUCCUGGGGCGGUAGUACGUCCCAAGGGUUGGUCUGUUCGCCCAUUAAAGCGGCACGUGAGCUGGGUUCAGAACGUCGCAAGACAGUUCGGUCCGUAUCCGGUGUAGGCGUAAGAACAUUGAAAGAAUUUCUUCUAGUACGAGAGGAUCGAAGAAACUAUACCUAUGAUCUACCAGUUAUUCUGCCAAGAGUAUUCGCUGGGAAGUUAAGUAUAGAUUAAUUAAACAUCUUAACUACUGAAAGCAUAUAAGUGGGAAAAAUAUCUUAAGAUAAAUGUUCUUGUCAAGUUUUAAACAAUGAAUAAGAAAUCAGUAAGAUUAAUUGCUAAAUAGCUCCUAAUGAAGUCGACGUAUAGUAAUAUAUUUAGCUUUUAAGACUAAUAAUUCGAAGAAUUAAACUU
rnacentral:rRNA from 1 species